rnacentral:rRNA from 1 species
GGUUAAGUUAGAAAGGGCGCACGGUGGAUGCCUUGGCACUAGGAGCCGAAGAAGGACGGGACUAACACCGAUAUGCUUUGGGGAGCUGUACGUAAGCGUUGAUCCAGAGAUUUCCGAAUGGGGGAACCCACUAUCUUUAGUCGGAUAGUAUCCUUACGUGAAUACAUAGCGUAAGGAAGGCAGACCCAGGGAACUGAAACAUCUAAGUACCUGGAGGAAGAGAAAGAAAAAUCGAUUUCCUGAGUAGCGGCGAGCGAAACGGAAAGAGCCCAAACCAAGAAGCUUGCUUCUUGGGGUUGUAGGACACUCUAUACGGAGUUACAAAAGAAAGUUAUAAAUGAAGCGGUCUGGAAAGGCCCGCCAAAGACGGUAACAGCCCGGUAGUUGAAAUGGCUUUCCCUCCAGAGUGGAUCCUGAGUACGGCGGAACACGUGAAAUUCCGUCGGAAUCCGGGAGGACCAUCUCCCAAGGCUAAAUACUCCCUAGUGACCGAUAGUGAACCAGUACCGUGAGGGAAAGGUGAAAAGCACCCCGGAAGGGGAGUGAAACAGUUCCUGAAACCGUGUGCCUACAAGUAGUUAGAGCCCGUUAAUGGGUGAUAGCGUGCCUUUUGUAGAAUGAACCGGCGAGUUACGAUUUGUUGCAAGGUUAAGCGGAAAAAGCGGAGCCGUAGCGAAAGCGAGUCUGAAUAGGGCGCAUAAGUAACAGGUCGUAGACCCGAAACCAGGUGAUCUACCCAUGUCCAGGAUGAAGGUAAGGUAAUACUUACUGGAGGUCCGAACCCACGCACGUUGAAAAGUGCGGGGAUGAGGUGUGGGUAGCGGAGAAAUUCCAAUCGAACUUGGAGAUAGCUGGUUCUCUCCGAAAUAGCUUUAGGGCUAGCCUCGAGGUAAAGAGUCAUGGAGGUAGAGCACUGUUUGGACUAGGGGCCCUUCUCGGGUUACCGAAUUCAGAUAAACUCCGAAUGCCAUGUACUUAUACUCGGGAGUCAGACUGCGAGUGAUAAGAUCCGUAGUCGAAAGGGAAACAGCCCAGACCACCAGUUAAGGUCCCCAAAUAUAUGUUAAGUGGAAAAGGAUGUGGGGUUGCUUAGACAACCAGGAUGUUGGCUUAGAAGCAGCCACCAUUGAAAGAGUGCGUAAUAGCUCACUGGUCGAGUGACCCCGCGCCGAAAAUGUACCGGGGCUAAACAUAUUACCGAAACUGUGGAUGAACCUCUUCGGAGGUUCGUGGUAGGAGAGCGUUCUAAGGGCGGUGAAGUCAGACCGGAAGGACUGGUGGAGCGCUUAGAAGUGAGAAUGCCGGUAUGAGUAGCGAAAGAAGGGUGAGAAUCCCUUCCACCGAAUAUCUAAGGUUUCCUGAGGAAGGCUCGUCCGCUCAGGGUUAGUCGGGACCUAAGCCGAGGCCGAUAGGCGUAGGCGAUGGACAACAGGUAGAGAUUCCUGUACCAGUGCUAAUUGUUUAACCGAUGGGGUGACACAGAAGGAUAGGGAAUCGCACGAAUGGAAAUGUGCGUCCAAGCAGUGAGUGUGA